UUCUUGGGGAAAAUUAUGUAUUUAUGGGUUACUUUGGUUCAGGGAGGAAAAUGAAAAAGCAAUGAUGGGAAAGCUUGUCCCAACCCUUGCUAGGGGAAGGGGAGGUGUGUGUAGUGACGUAGGGAUUAACUGGAAGCCCCUAUGUGAUUUCUAAGGAGGCAGGGGCCAGGGAGAAGGAAAGGUGAGUGAGGUGAAUUUUGGAAAGGGGAGUGGGAACAGCUCUACAGGUAACUUUAAAGCUUAUUCCUGGAGUUUAAUUUCAGAUGGUUUAAACGCCUGGGUGAACUUCCAGUGGUAGCUUAGGGUCUUCCGGCCCUCCAUUUCCUCACUUGCUAAGAGGGUUAAGUAGUGCUGCGGCUUCCAUGGCUGUGAAGAUGGCUGAGGAGGCUGUGCACUGGGGGUGUACUGAGCAGCUGAUGCUUCAGGGGUGCUGCUGUGGUAAGGAUGCUGGAGGCCUGGGGCUGCGUGUGUCUAGUCUGGGAGACUCCUGAGUUCAAGUCCUCAACUUUGUCAUCAUUUUUCAUCCCUCAUGUCACCAAGCAAAAGCCUGAGGGGAUUUUUCAGACCCAGCACUGGUACCUGGGGAAGGAGCCUCAGACAGGCCAGAGGGUCCGUCUGUGUUCUCUGGGGGAUGUCUCCAUCCCUCUGGGACAGGGACGGAAGGACCUUUCCCUAUUCAGGGUUCAUUCUGCUCUGCUGCGUGGAGCAACAUGAUUUUAAUGGGUGUCAUUUUCCCCUGUCCCCAGAUUCUGAGAGAGGCACUGGAGACGCAGUGGCAAGCCAGAUCCAGGCUGUUGGUCCAGAGGGGAAGCAGCUCUUUGCAGUACUGUGGUUAGUUGCCAUGAUCCACACAGGUGCCAAAGCCAGGGCAUGCAAGGGGUGGAGUCCUCAAAACCACCUCACUUUAGACAAAAGGAAACCCCACUGUAGUAGUGUGGUAGGCUGGGACGUGAGUACUGAGCUGGCCAGAUCAAAAGUGUAGAAGAAAGUAUUGCUGGGGCUGGAGAGAUGGUAAGAGCAAUGGCUAAUCUUCCAUGGAUCUGGGCUCCAUUCUUGGCAUCUACAUAGGAGCUUACAGCCAUUUGGAACUCUAGUUCUAGGGAAUGAGAUGCCCUCUCAUGCUCCAGGACACACACGUGGUGCACAGACAUACAUAUAGACAGCACACGAGCGCACGCGCACAUACCCCAAAAAUAAGUUAAAUUGUGUGUAGAUAACUAAUCUUUAAAAAGAUUGAAAGGAGCUUCUACUGUGGGCAUUCCUCAGUUAAGGCAACAAAAGGGCCACGUCACAGCUAUUAAUAGCAGAGUUAGUACAGAGCCCUGGUUCAAGUGACCCCCUCCCUCCUGAGUUCAAAUCAUUCCCAUUAUUCCCCGAACAAUAGAUUUUUGGAGGUCUUCAUCCAGACACUGACAUUUAAACUUGGCUUUGAAAGAGGGGUGGGAUUUGGAGAAUCUUUGAGUCCUUCCUGGAUUGGGCUUUUGAAGGGAGGGUUUGGAAUCACCAGACCAGUGGACUUUGUCUCUAGUUUUGUGAUCUCAAGCAAAUUGCUUAACUUCUCUGGGCUUCCACUUUCUUCUCUGUAAAGACGCAGAGAACUACUUCCUAGGGCAUCAGGAGGCAGUAGAAUGUGUACAAUCCUUAGAGCAGUUCUGGAAACACUGACAAACUGAGCACCAUGGCCAUUAUUACCUCCAGACACCCCAAUGCGGUUGUCGUCACAUGUCUGUGGACUGAAUGAUCUGACAGAAGGGAAGGCGGUACCCGGAAGGACAAAGAAGCCCAGUAUUUUGCAGGAGGCACCCGAGGACAGCCUGAAUUCUCUUGUGUUGAGUGAAGAGGGAUAAUUCUUCUGGCUCAAAAAUAGCACAACAGAGACAGCCAUUAGGUGACAAGUCUCAUGAGAUCCUUUCACUGGCUUCCCUGUCUGGAAAAGCCACCAGCUGCUAAUGCUAUAGUCAGGAGUCAUUCUACAUAACCACACCUAACGAAGUGAUUCUUGAUAGUCUCACCUGGAUUGAAUUUCCAAACAAACUUCUGGAAAAGUAAGAUGCCUGAGGGAUAGAUCCAGGGUGGCAGGAUCCCCCCACCCCUGCAACCACCCCCCCCUUACACCCAGAUGGCUAGAGAUGCAGGCAUAUUCAAAAAGGAUUCAAUCUCUUCAUCGGGGCACUCCCAUUUAGACACUAGACCCGGCCAAGACCCAGACCCAGACAACACUCCUGUUACAAGAGCCGUGAUCUAAAUUCCUCGUGGAAAGUCUGUCUGAAUUAGGCACCUCAUUUUAAUUCCCAGUUCCUUUUUAAGUCAGGUCCCUCCUUCUCGAGAACCACAUUUGAAGUUGCGAGCUGGCCUUCCUUCUGUUUUUGCUAUUUGUGUGCCAGUUUCAUGGGUGGGGAGAGCCACGUUAAUUUAAAAAUAUAGCACAAAUAGCAAAAUGAGGCUUAGUUUAAAGUGAAAACCACAGAAAGGUUUUUCCCCUUCCCUUCUGUAUUUUUCAGAUUUUCCUAGAUCCACCUUUAUAUCCUCUGAGCCCAGACAUAGAAAGUGCAUGAGCCUCACUGGAUGCUCUUCCAAACCAGAGCAAGAAGUCUCCAGCUCACUCUCUCUCAUGCCACCUUUAGAUUUUAUUUUUCUGUUUUAGAUAUUUGAGUUCGGGGUGGGGGCUGUCAGAAAGCUGGCCAAGCUCCCAAUUCCAUGGUAGGUUAUUUCUAAGCACCCGUAGAUUUUGGGGUUAUAUAACCCACAUCUUCGAAUCAGUUGUGUCCACUUGUGCAUUCUGGGUAUUGGGAAUGUGGCUUUUAAGGAAGUUCCUAGAUCAAAUCCCGGCCUUGUUAGUUAUUAGCUUCUGACUUUACAUCAGACAGGAAUCAUGAUCCACAUGGUCCAGGCCAUAGUGAGCCAAGGUCUAAAAAGGACCUGGUGCGACCAAUAGGAGGCGGCUAUUAUGAAAAUAGACCCUCUCAUCUGUCGGCUCCCUCUUUAGUCACCAUCUCCCAUUUUGGAAAAGGAAAGAAUAUUCGUUAUCUAUUUCAAAUGGAGGGUCUACCUCCAUUUUAAAUCAGCCACGGGCUCACCAGAAGGGAAGACCAGACCAGACCAGACCGAGCUGAAUUUGCAAACGCUUAGGCCUUUUAACCGAAUGGAAUCUCUGCCUUUGCCCCUUAGCAGAACAAAAUCUAACCGGCUGGGACUUGGGAAGCCUUGAACGAGUGGCGAUCGCUCAGUCUAAAGAAGCAGGUCUAAAUGCGGGUGUGGGGGCAGUCACCUGGGGAGGAAAGCCGCUGCAGGCGUCUGUAGGCAGAGCGGACAGAAAACUCCAUGCGCGAGCGGCAGCGCCCUCUGCUGGCUACGACGUGCAAAUCCGGAGCCAGGACCCGCCGCUGGUCAAAUGGAACUCCGGAUCCCUUUCCGCUGCCUCCGCCCUCGCUCCGUCCCUUCUCAGGAUCGCGCAGUCUGGUCUGGGACUGGAUUCCAGGAGAGGCGUCCCCAUCCUACGCUUGAAGGCAGAGCAAGGACGCUGCUCCAAAACACCCGGCUUAUCAGCUGAGCGGAGGCUGCAGGAAUCUACCCAAAUCCACCGGCGGCUGCUUUUGCCUCCCGGAUGCCGGGACAGAAGCCGGGGCUAUCGGAGGUGGUUUGGAAAUGGCAUCGCUUAUGGCCAAGACCGAGGGUUCUGCGGACAGAGAGGAGCCCUGGGUUCGCUUUCUGCCUCAUCCAGCUAGGUGACCUUGGGCAAGGUACUUAAAUUUCCAUGUGCCUUGUUUUCCUCAUCUUUAAGAUGGAGGGAAUGCUCCCGACCUUAACCGGUUGGCUUGAGGAUUACACUAGAACAGGCAGCCUAGGUUGGGAUUCUGGCAUUGGCAUUAGCUAGCUGUGUGCCCUGGGGCAGGUUACUUAACCUCUCUGCCCUAGUUUCCUGAAAAUUAGGGAUCAUAACGGUACUUACCUCCGAGGGUUGUUGCCUGCAAAGCGCUUAACACUGCGGUGGAUGUAAGCGCUCAAUAAACUGUGGCUAUUACGGC
rnacentral:sRNA from 1 species